rnacentral:lncRNA from 1 species
ACAACAACAACAACAAAUUUAUUAAAUUUGUGAGGUCCAUGCCUUUACACAAAAUACCAUAAAACAUUUUUAAAAGAUAAACCAAAAGGAUUAUAAAAGUAGGCUAAAAUUCAUGCCAUGUUGUCCCAGCAAGGAAACUACCCAAAAACCCCACCAUUCAAGGAAGAAGGUACAGCAACAGGUUAGGAGAGCAAUGGGAGGGACCUCACCGUUUCAUCCAGGAACCAUACCCUAGUUUUCAUAGCCUUCACCACAAAGACCGCUACCACGUGAGAAAUCCGUGGAUCAGCGUCUACCAGUAAAAACUUUACUUGGUCCUCAGAGUUGACUAUUGAUUUAGGAAUAGUUUGUAACAUCGCAUCCCUGAAGGCCGAAUAGAUGGGACAAUACAACAUGUAAUGUAUGAGAUCCUCUUUGGUUCUCAUAUAACAAGGACAUAUCCGCUGCUCUACUGGGAUUUUUGCAUAUCUGCCUGACAGAUAGGCCGUAGGAAUGGUUUGAAAACGGGCCAUAGUAAAGGCUCUCCGAAGAGUGGGAUUGGUGAUAUUCGCCAAGUAGUUGGCGCAGAUUUUGACUGCUUUCAGUCGGGGAAGCCAGUGGGAGGACCCUGGGAUCUGUAUUUUUGUGGUAUCUAACAGAGCGUCUCUCUCCAGGAUCCAUUUCCGGACUUUGUCCGGGCUCCACCGUUUGAGGAUAUUAAACUCCGGUAGGGUGUAUCUAACCAGGAUCUCAGAUAAGUUUUGGCGCCAAGUGGUAUUCUUUUGAAAAGAUACGAAGGCUUGUUUGGCCAAUAAGGUGUUUGGAGAGUUUGCAAGGUUGAUGUAAAAUCGUAGGAAUCUUAAGUGGGCCCUGGCAGACACAGAGGGUAAACCAACCUCCACCCUCAAGAAGGCUGCUGGGGUUCCUUGAGGAAGGCCUAGAAUCUUCUUGAGAUAGUAGUUUUGCAAAAUUUCAAGCCGUUCCAACAGCCUCUGGUUCCACCCCCAGAGUUCUAUCCCAUAUAACAUCUGGGGAAUAGCUUUCCCAACGAAAGCUCUUAAUGCCGGGAUCACCAAUUGUCCUCCCCUGGUAUGGAAGAAACUAAGCAAAACACCAAUUGUUCUUCGUGUUAGGAUGGUUACAGCCUUAAAGUGGGCUAGCCAGCUAGAUGUAGCCUGGAAUGUAACACCCAGAUAUUUAAAAAAGGGCACUGUUCAAUCACUUGUUCAUCUAAAGACCAUCUAAAGGUGUGGCGAGCUCUAGUAAACACCACAAUUUUUGUUUUAUCAUGGUUUAUCUUUAGUGAAUUAUGGGAACAGUAGGCUGCGAUCCCCUCCAGCAUGCUGCGUAAGCCUCUUCGGGUGAGUGCCAUUAAAACCAUGUCAUCGGCAUAUAGCAAAAUAUUCAGGCGUUUACCUUCAAGGGCUGGAGCCGAUGACUUGUACUUUGCCAUGUACUGGACAAUGUCGUUUAUAUAAAAGUUGAAAAGAAAUGGGGCUAGCAGGCAUCCCUGUUUGACCCCUUUCCCCAAUGGCAGUGGGUCCGUAAGAGUUCCCGAUGGCCCAGUUCUGAUUUUGACUGUAAUGUCUGUAUGUAACUCUCUGAGAAUUUUUAAAAGUCGUCUGUCAAUGUCCGUUUCAUAUAAUUUUUCCAUAGUCUAUCUCUACAGAUUGAGUCGAAGGCAGAUGUCAAGUCUACGAAGGCCACAAAGAGUCUGCUCUUAUACGCUUUUGCAUAUUUAGCUACCAGGGUCUGUAGUACCAUACAGUGACCUAUCGUAUUGUGGCCCUUUCUAAAUCCUGCCUGUUCCUGGUUGAACAGGUUAGAAUGGUCCGCCCAAUCUACCAGCUUGUUUAAUAGGUACCGGGUAUAAAGUUUGUAUGCGAUGUCCAGAAGGCUUAUAGGGCGGUAGUUUGCUGGAUCUUGAAUGUCUCCCUUCUUAUAGAUAGGGACUACCACACUUAGUUUCCAAUUUGCUGGGAUUUUACAUGUGUUGUUCAUUGCCGUAAAAAGUUUGGCCAAAAGAUGGCCCACCAUUGGGCAUUUAAUUUAAAAACCUCAGGGGGAUCAUGUCCUCGCCAGGAGCUUUGCCAUUUUUAAAGUUUUAAUUAGCUGUAGGCACUCUGAUUCCGUAACAGGAUCCCAACUAACUAGAUGCUCAUUCUUCAAUGGGAGGAGCGGACUCAAAUUAGCAGUAUUUGAGAGUGUGUAUAGCUUGAGAAAGUGUUGAUACCACACAUCGGAUGGAAUACUGCUGUUUACAAUUUUUCCUUUGGAUGAGACUCCCUGUGCUACUAUUGCCCAGAAUUUUCUAUCGUCUCGCGAUUUAAUCGCCAUAUCAAGUGCCUCCCAUUGUUUCUUCCUGUAAAGGGAUUUCUUGAGUUUUAAGGUGUAUUUAUAGUGAGAGCGCCAUCUGUGGAAAUUUACCAUAGAUGACAAAGUCCUCUCCUGUUUUACCUUAUUUUGUUGUUUCCUAAGCAGGGAUCUUAGCUUCCGGCAGUCUUUGUCAAACCAGGCCCCCGAUUUGUUAUGUUGUAUGGGAGGCCUGGUGUUUAUAAGAAAUGGGAAAAGGGACUCUGAGACCCGCUGAUAUAGUGAAAAAGGAUCAAAGUUAGGUAAAAGACACUGGUCUCUCAGAACCAAUAGAUCUGGAGAGUGCAGGUGUUGAUUAAUUUUAAGCUCCAGCUCGCUGUUCCAUUUACGCCUGCGUGGGGCCGGUGCUUGAGGAGGGGCUGCACAAUGUAGAUGUUGUAAUCCCCCUGAUUCAAGGGGAGUUAGUGAGAUUGCUCUAGGAAGAUGGUCGCUCUCAGUUCUAUUAAAAGUGCUGAGACCCUGUACCCUCUCCAAAAUUGUUGGAGAGACCAGGAUAUGGUCAAUCACACUUGCACCACGAGGGCCGAUAAAAGAGAAGAAACCUCCUGACCUGUCCAUGUAAGUACCAUGCAGGUUGUACAGAUUAUGCUUAAAAGCAAUCUCCAGUAAUGUAAUACCUGCCUUGUUCAAGACCUUUUCAUCAGAACUCCAAGGGAUAAGCCAGUCUGCCUCUGGUAGAAACUGGGUUUUGGAGCCAUACGAAUUGAUGUCGCUGCCUAUCCUGGCAUUAAAGUCACCUGCCAGCAGGAUGUUCCAGUCAGGGAAUUCUAUUUUGGCCUUCUCCAAGCAUGACUCCAAAUCUUCCCAGAUUUGUACUGUCUGAGAGGAAGUACACACGGGGGAUAUAGACGUUGAAACAUAGAAGAUCUCCUCCUGUGUUAUUGGAGAUAAGUAAAAUCUGAAAAUUGUUGUUCUUCAUCCACUGCAGUUGUCGCACCCUGUACCCUUGCUCUAUGGGAAUAAAAGUGACCAAACCGCCGCUAGGUCGGCCACGGUUAUUUAGUUUUUCGCAGGGGUAGCAAAAGCCGCAUAGCCCUGUAAGUAAGGGGGAUGAGAGUCUAGGCACCAGGUCUCUUGUAGACAAAUAAUCUGGAAUUUUGAGAGAAAAUCCAGAAAAUCAGCAGCGCCCUGCUUAGACAGCCAGCCCGCCACAUUCCACGAUAAGAUGUGAAAAUAUGGUGGUGAGGGGAACAAAGGUAGACUUCUCCGUUUGUUCUUUAGGAUGAUGGAAUGAAUGUUUUUGUAGAGGUGGAGUGAGCUGUUGGUAUCCUUUGUGGUAGGUACUAACCUAGUGAGUUUUGUUUCACUGGCGUGGUGUCCCCUCGCUGUAUCUGUCUUUCAGUCCUCCACCUGAAUGCCAUCUAAGGAUCCUGAGGCAUCCACAAAGAUUGAACCGUUCCUACUCAUCGGCAUGGCAAGGUCUACCUGGUGUGUUGUUGUUUGAGGUGUUAAGGGUUGUGUGGGAGAACCCACUUCUUCGGGGGACAGGAACCGGCACUGCGUCCAGUCUUCGUUGGAUAAGGGCUUUGUUGUGUUAGUAGCAAAAUUAAAUUCCAAAGGAGCAGAAAAACCUUGGCGGAAUACGGAUUUUUAAUGGUUUGUAACCUAGCUAUUAACGCAUCCUGGGACUGUUGAAUUUGCUCAAGGGAGGCUAGAAAGAGCAUCUCCUUUUCAUUUAAGAUAUCUUUUUGGGUUCAUUGGAAGGGAGUAAAGUUUUUGGAGCUUAGCCUUCUGUUUGGAAAUUUUGACUGCCUCCGGUUGACCUUGUUUGCAGUU